AGUCUGUUAACACGGGUUUCCGUUCGAUCACCAAAGUUACGCAAUGUCGAGUUUUGUCAGUACCUCAAUGGAUGACCGCUUGGGAAUACCAGGUACUGUAAG